CUUUUACAUAAGAUUUGGAAGGAGAGGACAUCAUUCUUUGUCUCUUCAUGAAACCAAAGUAUUAUUUUUAACUAGUCAGGUACUUGUGGAUUUGAGUACAGUGACAGUAGUAACACAGAGACGAGUGGUAGCGGUGUGAACUUUAUUGCACGAGUUCGAUCCACAAUCGGGCUUAGAUGUUAUAGAGGCCGGAAAUAAACGUAUAGAUAAACCCUUAGAGAGUUGCCUCUUUCAUUGUAACGACACCUUGUUACAUUUGGCGCCCAAUACGGAGUUCUAUAUCGGACAUUUCCAGACACCGGUUCACCGUGCGUUCUACCUUGAACAACAGGAUUUAUUGUACAUUACAUGGAUCGUGGAGUGCAGAAAUAAUACAUAUUACAAGUAUUGAGGUAUAGUUGACAUGUGAAUUUUAUCAUAUUUCCUUGGGUACAGGAGUACCUUUCGCCGCGUGGGUCAAGGAUCCGAGGAGGGUCCUCAUCUUUAUUGGUCGGUGGAUGACUACUUUACGUUACCGUGGACGAAGUGCAGCAGCUUUAUUCCCAGAACAAUGGACCAGGGACUUGGCAUGUACACUCAUAGUGUGAUAAACAGUGAUAUUUUGUGAUCUAGUGGCCUUAAAAAAAACUUGUGUAAGAGUACCUGAGUACCAUGCCUGUAUAUAUGUGAGUACAAAAAUAUUGAAAACAAUAGUCAGAGAAUUGCAGUCUUUUGUGGUUUUGUAAUAUUUUUACAACCAUUUUACACUUAAUCUUUCCAAGAUAUUGCGUAACUACUUGUGAGCUGCAGUUUUCUGAAUAUUUUGUGAGAGAUUUGUAGAUCGGAAGUAUUUGAGAGAAAAUCAUCACUUUGCAUGAAUUUAAUAUUAAAUUAAAACGGUGAUGGUAAGGCCAAAUAAAAAAAUAGGUGCGUUUCAGGUAACACUGCCAAAAAAAACAGGGUAGGUAGGUCGGAAUAUUCUUUUAUUUUUUUAAUAUUAUUUUUUUGGAUAUAAUAUUGAUUUCAGUAACUGUUGACUCAGAAAGUAACAAAAAUAAAAGUAAUCAAUUUUCAGGUUGAUCAGUAGUGUUUAAACAUGUUCCAUGCUUCAAAGGAAACAUUCUUUAUUUGUCUGGUUAAAUACUUUGACAAUGAUGGUUGGAUUUCAACUAAGUUAUGGUACACCACUCUACUAUUAUUUAAGACUUUCCAGGACCAGUUUUACUUUUCUUUAGCACCCUUUUGCUUUCAAUCACCCACUGUAGAAUGCUAAUCUCCCUGUAACAUAAUUACAUGAAGAGUGGGACAGCAAAUUUACCAUAUAAGCCAUCAGCCAAGGAAACCUCAAUGCUGUCAAGAGGACCUGGGGGUUCAGGUUUGAAGAACAAGGUAGCAUGCAGGUUUUAUUGCCGAAAUUGCACUGACAUAUCAAUCCGAAAGUCAGUAUCUGACACAUUUAUAUCUGACAAGAAAAUAUAGUUCAAGAAUUGAAAUAUACCUGCCACACAAGCACAAACUACCCGUAAUUCACCUUAGGGUUCGGUCAAUCUAAAAAUUCGGACAUCCAUUAUUAUUUUCAAAAAUUAUUUAUUUUAGGUACCUAAUUUUCGGACACCCAAAGGACAUCGAUUGUAACUUUUACAGUUAUGCACCUGUCAAUUGUAACCACGCCCCCCCAGGUCCGGGGGUAUACCGAGGAUAACCGGGGAAAAGGGCCGUGGUUUUACUUUCCAGGUGCCCCCGCAGGGCCGGGUGACCGCGAUGGUUUUGUCAUAGCGCCAAUUUUAGCGGAGAUUGGGCCUUAUAUAGAGUCACUGGGAUGCGGGGCAUUUGGCCGGGGUUUAACCAUCAGUUCGUCCCCGCAAGGCGGGGUUUUUACCCGGGGGGCUAUUUUCCGGGGACCUGGGGGGUGGGGGCGUGGUUACAAUUGACUGGUGCAUUUACUCACGGCCUCUAAACGCCAGCUCUACCACUUUACGGUGGUGCAAAGAAAAAGAGCUGUCGACACUUCCGUGGUAGACUGUGCCCUAUGUUUACAUAAACAAACGUGAGUAUGAUUUAUAUUUCAUUUGAUAAUUUCAUUUAGCGGACAUAUUUCGAAAAUCGGAGAAUUUGGUACCGUGUUAGAACACUUCUACUAUAGGCUGGUUACUAUUUUGUUUCAAUAUUGUACUUUACAUACAUUUCGUAACAAAUGCUUUUCGUACCCAAAUCAAAUUUUUAUCAGGGAAAAAAUAGGUUAGGGUCGGCGGGAAAAAUAGGGUCAGUCGGGUAACCUGAAACAGACCUUUUUUUAUUUGGCCUAAGGUACUUUAUUGACUUACUGAUUUGAUAAGAAUAUGACUUGAUAACUUAACAUAGUAACAUCUUAACAUUAACUAGCAUUGACCAGAUUUUUUUAGUCUGUAGCGGUUACGCCCCUGUUUCCAAAAUCGAUAGUUCAAAUUUCACUAUCGAUUGUCGCCGACGCAGGCCUUUCCGAUCAAUUGUCGAUUAUAAUCAUCGGCACAACACUAGUUCUAAGAAAGAGGCUCAUGUCAAAGGCUUACACCCCUAAGUUAUGCCUCAUCAAUCUUCAAAUCCUGGACCUGUAGCGCCCCUGCUAACCCCUAUAUUUCGAUCGUAACGGGUUGGACAUAUUUGUGGCAUCGUUAGAAUUGUUGUAAUAAAAAUGAAUUAUGA